rnacentral:lncRNA from 1 species
ACAAAAGAUUUUUUUUUAUUUGGUUGCAGGGUCAUUUGAGAGAGAUCAUCUUCAUCCUACAAUUCCCACGGAUUGAUAAACCUUAGGUCAUCCACUUAAGGGAAAAUUGCUAUUGUCCUACAAAACUCUAUGCUUGGAGGCCCAACACGAGUCUACAAGAAUAAAGUUGCAUAGUAGACAUCAUAUAUAUGGAAUGAAAAAGGCGGACCAAGAUAGAAAACCCUAUGACAAAUACAAAUCCAACAUCAGGAGUUUCAGUUUUUAUUCUACAAAUAAACACAACAAUCUAUAUCAAUCAGUAGCCCUCCCAUGGGAAGGAUAGAAGACAACAAGGUUAUUCAGCAUCCCUUUUCAUAGAUGCCAGCACCAGCAGAGUUGUUGGGUGCGUUGGGCCUUUCAACAAGACUAGCCUUCCUCUGUUCGUAGAUCAACUUCUUAGAUUACCUAAAUCGAGAAGACAAGUUUACAAUGCAGCUCAUAAACAAGGUGGAUAAAAACAUAGUAGUCAAGAGUAAAGAGACUGAAGGCAGUAUGAAGAGCUAGUUGUACAUACCUCUUGUAACACCAACUGAUCUAUUGAUUCAUGUUUCCUUGCUUCUCCUUCUUUUCAAAUCUCCCGACGCUUUAUCCCCCGCCCCAACUGGACUUCUUUGAUGCUUCUGAUUCUACGGAUCCUUUCAGUUUCUCUAGAGCUUAAAUUUUAACAGGACAUCAAGGAAAAAAGCAACAGAAACAAUAUUAGAAUGAAUAAAAAAAUUCAAAGGAUGGCACACCAACAUAAUCUGAUUAAAAUAGGACUAUUAACUCACCGAUCUCAAAAGGUGGGCGAACCCUUUCUAUUGAUUCCCCGGACAGGGAGUGUAGGAUGCAACGAGAAGCCUAGAACCAUCUGCCUUCUUCAACAACUUGUUAAAAAAAUUAACCUACAAAAGAUUUAACCGAGCAACUCAAAUAACAAGAUAUGUAUCACACUGAUAUUAAUUUAUACAUCUGGUAGUAAAACAUUUAACUCCAAAACAAAUAUCAAGGUGAUUCAUCGUUGAUGAAUUUGUAAGCCCGAACGCAAAUUAGGAAGUCCCAACAGUGGCAGUUUUGUACACCAAAUUAUAUAUCAUCAGAAUACUCAAUUUGUUUGUUCCCCAGCAAUCCAAUUAGCCAGCAAUACAUGGACGAGAUCAGUUGUUGUUUUGCAUGUUCUUUACUCAUAUAGUCGUGCAAUGUACAUUAUCAUGGUGUAUUAAUCAAUCAACCAAAGGAAGCACAAUUCUAAAAAUUAAUGUUUCUAUACUUUGUUCUAUAGUUCUAUUAUAUAUGAUGUUGGUGGUCAAAUUCAAUUACUCUCCCGCUGACUGAAACUUAACCUCCCUAAAGCAUGAACCAGACCUGCUCUUAGGUGCAAGCUUUGUUGAUCGAGCAAGUGCAUGUAUACUCUUUUUAUGAUUUUCCUUCCGAUGUAAUUGAGUUUUUACUACCUCAUAACGGAUACACACAAGGAGGCAACCUCAUUCAGCAGUGUAUCAGUACCUUACUCUCACAGAAAGCACAUACUCCCUCCGUCCCAAAAUAAGUGUCGCGGACGUAGUAAAACUUUGUACUACUAACUCUGCAACACUUAUUUUGGGAUGUAGGGAGUACAUCAUGCUGCAUAAUGUAACGAGAGCCGAUGAAGCUUACAUCGAGGUACAUGCAUGAGUAUAGAGACGGUUCAUGAAGAGUUAGAUGAACCAAAUGGAGCACAGAACACCAGCUGCAGAACACAAGAAUAAAAUUUAUAUCUAUUGUUAUGCAAUAGUAAUAAAUCAUGUUUGGCCAGACUCCAAACAAAGCCUCACUAAAUUCUUAAGUCAUUUAGUAACAUGUGAUGCAAAAUAAAAUGGAGCCUCAUCAAAAGAAACUCAUUUCAUCCAACCAAAACAACUGUUAUUUGCAAUUAAUGAUAGAUCUUCAAAUGGUGACCUCUUAUUAAAUAUCCAAUGCUAGUUCAUAAAUUUAUAGAGGUGUAGUCAUGUAGGCCAAAAAUAAUAUCAACAUAGAAUCUCAUGCUUCAUCCAAUGGAACAUAGAUAAUCUACCUAGAUCCAAGUAUGGAAGGAAGAAAUACAAUAUUAUCACCUAUUUCUUUACAUUGCAUGCCACAACAAGUAAAAGCACAAUCCUAUUUCUUUACAUUCGCCCUUUCCUUUAAUACUUGAAGCUAAAAAUGAAAUCCCAUGAAUGAUUUGGUAAAGAACUACGAUUAUCCUUGAAAAAUGCGCAGGUACAUAUGCCAGAACAACACUUACUAUUUUCUAUUACCAUAUCCUUCAUUAAGGAAAAAAAUCCAUACAUAAGCUUGACCUAACCAAAUGACUAACAAACAUGUAGCCAUGGUUAAUACUGCGUGAAUUAUUCAGGAACUUCUCAGCACAAACUCUAUCCACUUCACACUUCUCCUCCGGACUCUAUAAAUUAAAAUAUCACACAUGCACAUGCAAAGGUAGUAGAAGCAAAAAGAACUUACAUUGGAAGGAGGCACAACGAAUCCGCAGCAUGCUUCAGAAGCAACCGAAAGGCAACAGAGCAGAAAAGAACAACUUGGACCGAUGGACGACGACGAAGAAAGCAGAGAUCUAAAGGAGGCAAAAUGCAGUAGUCAGCGAGCAGGUAAAUCAAAAACAUAGCAAACAAUGAUGAUGGACACACCUCAGCCAAACGGUUCCAUGGCAGUCAACCAAAAGAGCGGCAGCAACAAAGAACUAGUGGAGCUGCAGAAGAAAAGAGAGGCAAAAAUGAAAGCAAGGAGAAACCCAAAUUAGUGCAAAGGAAAUGGGGGCAAACCAGAUCCAUACGUGAAAACCAAAUUGACCCAAUCCACGGUGGCACUGCGAAAAAAAGCAAAUCGACGGAAAGGAAAUGGGAGGAGCAGAUCCAUGGCAAGGCAAGGAGGUCGGGUGGCUCGCGGGGCACCAUCUAGGGUUGUCUCCACCACCGCCGCUACAUGGGCUCCCUACCGUCGCACCACCCCGCUUUUCCUCGGCUAGCUGAUGCGUCCAGGCGCGACCGUCGCUGGUGAUGAGAUGGGUGUGACAAGGAGAUGAGGAGGCGAGCAGACAGACAAGGGAAAAAAGAAAGAUGAAGACGGAAGGAGGGGGCUCUCUCCACCCCGUGCAGCACACCGACACACCCAACACGUCGAACAAAGACAAAGACCCACCAAUGAGACAUGGG